rnacentral:rRNA from 1 species
GACGAACGCUGGCGGCGUGCCUAAUACAUGCAAGUAGAACGCAGUUGCGAACGGGUGAGUAACGCGUAGGUAACUGCCUCAUAGCGGGGGUUAACUAUUGGAAACGAUAGCUAAUACCGCAUACUGUGAGAUGGACCUGCGUUGUAUUAGCUAGUUGGUGAGGUAAAGGCUCACCAAGGCGACGAUACAUAGCCGACCUGAGAGGGUGAUGGGCCACACUGGGACUGGGGAACGGCCCAAGAUCCUACGGGCAGCAGCAGUAGGGAAACUUCGGCAAAUGGCGGAAGUCUGACCGGAGAAAGCCGGUGGAGUGGAGAAAGGUUUCCGGUCGGAAAGCUCUGUUGUUAGAGGAGCGGUAACUAACCAGAAAGGGACGGCUAACUACGUGCCAGCAGCCGCGGUAAUUC